rnacentral:rRNA from 1 species
CUACGGGGGGCUGCAGUGGGGAAUAUUGCACAAUGGGCGAAAGCCUGAUGCAGCAACGCCGCGUGAGGGACGACGGCCUUCGGGUUGUAAACCUCUUUUAGCAGGGAAGAAGCGAAAGUGACGGUACCUGCAGAAAAAGCACCGGCUAACUACGUGCCAGCAGCCGCGGUAAUACGUAGGGUGCAAGCGUUAUCCGGAAUUAUUGGGCGUAAAGAGCUCGUAGGCGGUUUGUCGCGUCUGCUGUGAAAACUGGAGGCUCAACCUCCAGCCUGCAGUGGGUACGGGCAGACUAGAGUGCGGUAGGGGAGAUUGGAAUUCCUGGUGUAGCGGUGGAAUGCGCAGAUAUCAGGAGGAACACCGAUGGCGAAGGCAGAUCUCUGGGCCGUAAC